rnacentral:rRNA from 1 species
UGGGGAAUAUUGCACAAUGGGCGAAAGCCUGAUGCAGCAACGCCGCGUGAGUGAUGAAGGCCUUCGGGUUGUAAAGCUCUGUCUUCUGGGACGAUAAUGACGGUACCAGAGGAGGAAGCCACGGCUAACUACGUGCCAGCAGCCGCGGUAAUACGUAGGUGGCAAGCGUUGUCCGGAUUUACUGGGGGUAAAGGAUGCGUAGGCGGAUACUUAAGUCAGAUGUGAAAAUCCCGGGCUUAACUUGGGAACUGCAUUUGAAACUGGGUAUCUAGAGUGCGGGAGAGGAAAGUGGAAUUCCUAGUGUAGCGGUGAAAUGCGUAGAGAUUAGGAAGAACACCAGUGGCGAAGGCGACUUUCUGGACCGUAACUGACGCUGAGGCAUGAAAGCGUGGGGAGCAAACA